UAAUCUCACUCCGACAGCUUUAUUGAUGUCUGGAGGUGGACUUGGGCCUUGCCGUGUCACAACGGCUGGUCUGAAAUGCAUGAGUGCACCCUGCUGUAGCAGCGUCUUCAGUGUGAUAAGUAUCUUCACUGAUUCAAGCUCCCUCCUCGGGACACGCUCGUCUGGUGGGCUCUGCGCUUCCAACCGUCCCCUGGUGGACAACUCUUGACA
rnacentral:misc_RNA from 1 species